UACGUAGGGUGCGAGCGUUGUCCGGAAUUAUUGGGCGUAAAGGGCUCGUAGGCGGUCUGUUACGUCGGGAGUGAAAACUCAGGGCCUAACCCUGAGCCUGCUUCCGAUACGGGCAGACUAGAGGUAUGCAGGGGAGAGCGGAAUUCCUGGUGUAGCGGUGAAAUGCGCAGAUAUCAGGAGGAACACCGGUGGCGAAGGCGGGUCUCUGGGCCGUAACUGACGCUGAGGAGCGAAAGCAUGGGGAGCGAACAGG
rnacentral:rRNA from 1 species